CGCCUUCUGACCUAUAAACGUAGAAGGUCCUGCCUGCCCAGUGACCCCAUUUAACGGCCGCGGUAUUAUGACCGUGCAAAGGUAGCGUAAUCACUUGUCUUUUAAAUAAAGACCAGUAUGAACGGCUAAACGAGGGCCUAACUGUCUCCCCAAGUCAGUCAGUGAAAUUAAUCUUCCCGUGCAGAAGCGGGAGUAAAAAUAUAAGACGAGAAGACCCUGUGGAGCUUAUAAAUUUAAGCUACAACACGUACGCACCAGAUUUUUGGUUGGGGCGACCAUGAGGCAAAAUAAACCCUCAAGAUUUAAAACCAGAAGGACACUUCAAACUAUGGUACACCCACACAUUGACCCAACACUUGACUAACGAACCAAGUUACCCCAGGGAUAACAGCGCAAUCCUCUCACAGAGCCCCUAUCGACGAGCGGGUUUACGACCUCGAUGUUGGAUCAGGACCCCCAAGCGGCGCAGCAGCUGUCAAAGGUUCGUUUGUUCAACGAUUAAAGUCCU
rnacentral:rRNA from 1 species